rnacentral:rRNA from 1 species
AUGGCCAUGGGGACUAGGCGCGCCGCUCUCUGCUUUCUUCUGCUAGUCGCCGUCUUCUUACAAGGCAACCCUACAUUGGUUUCAGCGGACGAGGAGUGCAAGUACAGGAUUCCGUACGUACCCUUCUGCAAGGGGUGGAGCUGCAAGGUGGAGUGCUGGCUGGAGGCCAAGCUCUUCCGCGCCCGUCUACAGGAGCACAAGUGCAUCAGGGGCGGCAUCAAGGGCGCCUGCUACUGCCUCUUCUGCGGGAAGCACCUCCAAUGA